rnacentral:rRNA from 1 species
AUGGUAGGCGGCGGCGGCGACGACGCCAGGUCGCGGACGCAAGCUGCGAGAGGGCGGCGGCAGACAGCAGCGUCGCUGCCGUUGGAUGUGCUGGUGGACAUUGCAGCGCGCACCGACCCAGCCACCUUCGUGUCCUGCGCCGCUACGUGCGUGGACAUGCGCUGCCGCGUCAAGGAAUAUAUCAGCCUCCGUGCCCCCCUCCGCCUACGGGACGGCGACCACUUCGUGCUCCCCCUCCUGCGAGGCCACCUGAUCUACCGGCACCGUGACUGGUCCAUGCCAAAGGAUGAGUUAUUUGUGGUGGACACCACCGCGCCAUAUGCCACCAAGCUGCGCACCGCCACUGGCGGUGGCAUCCCCCUAUCGUCACGCGAUGGUCUCGUCCUCGCCCGUGUGGGAGUGGCCAAAGAGCUCCGCGUGUGCGACCCGGCCACCGGCAGGAGCCUGACCCUGCCGUCUGAACCGACGUUUCGUUGGGUGUCUGGGAUAAAUUAUGUCUUGAUCGUCGGCGACCAUGAUGAGGUACCGCCCUCACCUGAAGCUCUGCACCUACUCGUCGGAGCACAGAGUGUGGGAUGCUACACUGAGAUUCAGGUCCCUAGCCUGCAAGGCAGCCGCUUGCAGGGACGCCUCAACAAGCCUCUGGUUGUCGGGGGCGCUGUGCACUGGUUUUGCCUGACCGACACCGGUACCUAUGUCCUGAAGCUCAAUGUCAGAGCGGUAAAGGUGAUGGUGACAAAGCUCCCAAAGAGCUUCCCGCACAAUGGGCGGCACCCAAAACUUCUGGCAACAUCAUCGACGGAUGGGAAUGUGCUCUUGCUCGUCGCUCGUGAGGUGGUUAUUCUCGGUCCAAUACAUGACCGAGAAUAA